rnacentral:rRNA from 1 species
UACGUAGGGGGCAAGCGUUGUCCGGAUUUAUUGGGCGUAAAGAGCGUGUAGGCGGCCAGGUAGGUCUGUUGUGAAAACUCGAGGCUCAACCUCGAGACGCCGAUGGAAACCAUCUGGCUAGAGUCCGGAAGAGGAGAGUGGAAUUCCCGGUGUAGCGGUGAAAUGCGCAGAUAUCGGGAAGAACACCCGUGGCUAAGGCGAGUCUCUGGACAGCAACUGACGCUGAGGCACGAAGGCCAGGGGAGCAAACGGG